UUGGAUAAAGCGGCCAUUAAGACAUGUUCGGGAGAGUCACCUUGUACGGUGACAAAAGUGGAAGUGGCAAAGCGUGUGCUAGGUCUUACCUUUAUAUGGCUUGUCACUUUAAUCCCAAGCACCUUAUGGGCACAAGUGAACACUCUCUUCGUCAAACAAGGGACCACCUUGGACCGAAAACUCGGAUCCCACUUCCAAAUCCCAGCGGCUUCGCUGGGAAGCUUUGUUACACUCUCAAUGCUUCUUUCUGUGCCAAUGUAUGACCAAUACUUUGUUCCCUUCAUGCGCAAGAAAACUGGAAACCCUAGAGGGAUCACUAUACUCCAAAGGCUGGGGAUAGGGUUUGUGAUCCAAAUUGUUGCAAUCGCGGUUGCUUCAGCCGUAGAGGUCAAGAGGAUGCGGGUAAUAAAGGAAUUUCGCAUAGCUAGCCCGAAACAAGUUGUGCCUAUGAGUAUUUUUUGGUUGCUCCCUCAGUACUCUCUUCUAGGCAUUGGAGAUGUGUUCAAUGCGAUUGGUUUGCUUGAGUUUUUCUACGAUCAGUCACCUGAGGAAAUGCAGAGCCUUGGAACAACGUUUUUUACGAGUGGGAUCGGUCUUGGGAACUUCUUGAAUAGCUUCUUGGUGACAAUGGUUGAUAAGAUCACGACUAAAGGGGGAGGGAAGAGUUGGAUUGGGGAUAAUUUGAAUGAUUCAAGGCUAGAUUACUAUUAUGGGUUUCUAGUGGUGAUUUCGAUUGUGAACAUGGGUUUGUUCUUGUGGACAGCUAGCAAGUAUGUUUACAAGAGUGAUGAGAUCAAAGAUUUUAGUGGAGGAUGUGUUGAAAUGGAGGCCAAAGCCUUAGACACAUCUCCUCUUACUAUCCAAUUAUAACAAUGCUAUACAUGUAUAUAUAUAUAUAUAUAUAUAUAUAUAUGGUUUUCAAGAAAUUUUGUAAGUUGUGGUAUUCUGAUAACAUGAUAUGAAUAAAACUUUAGUGUUUAUUCUAAUCAAUCAGUUAAAACUUGGAAGAAUGAAACAAUUAUUCAAGUCUAUAUAUGGCUUUGCUCUACUUGUUGAAAACACAAAUCGAUUCCCAUUGAUUACAUUGAAGAAUGCACAUGAUUCUGGUUUGAAAAACAAAACUAGUUAAUUAUAACCAACGAGCAUCUUCCUUAAGAUUCAACCACCGAGAAAAACCUAUUCAACAAGCUACCUUUGAAACUCUUAUCUACUAAGGCCCUGUUCGUUUGCUCACCCAGGUGAUCCAUCUGGGCCAUCUGGGUGAAGAUGCAAAUCGAUGUUCGUUUUGUGCAUUAUAAUGCUACAUCCAGAUGGAUCACCCAGCUGAAUUUUUAAAAACUCAUCUCAAAUUGUCACUCAAAUGAAGGUGAGUCUUGAUGGUGCAUCUGGAUGCAGAUGCAUCUAGUUCAGUCCAAAAUGAUUAAUGACAAAAAUGACUUUUUAAAAUCAAAAUAUUAUUUUCAAACCAUGAAUUCUAUUUUUUUUGCAUAUACAUUUUUCCGCUAGAACCGAAAGAUGUAUUUUCCCGCCAAAACUAAAAAACAAUCUUUCCCGCCAAAAACGCAAAAAUGCAUUUUUUCGCAAAAAAAACGUAAAACAAACAUUUCCAUUUAUAUGGCUUGUCACUUUAAUCCCAAGCACCUUAUGGGCACAAGUGAACACUCUCUUCGUCAAACAAGGGACCACCUUGGACCGAAAACUCGGAUCCCACUUCCAAAUCCCAGCGGCUUCGCUGGGAAGCUUUGUUACACUCUCAAUGCUUCUUUCUGUGCCAAUGUAUGACCAAUACUUUGUUCCCUUCAUGCGCAAGA
rnacentral:lncRNA from 1 species